AAUUGCAAAUUCUUGGCAACAUGCAAAUAGGACGUACAGUCAGCUGCAACAGUAGGACCAGUCAGAGCUCGAGAGGUGCAGUUACAGGGCCAACACACAU
rnacentral:lncRNA from 1 species